CAAACCAGACUGGGAUUCUGAGAUUCUGUGAUUUUGUUCCAUACCUUUAGCACUGGAUGUAAUUCUUAAAUAAUGGGCAAAAUGAACCACAGAUUCCUUCAAGUGCCAGUUAUGUUAGUAGGGGUAAGACUGGAAAAGUAAAUUGUGUUUUCUUCACCAGUGUCAGGAAACAUGACCAAAUUCAGGUUCCUCUUCAUGCUGCAACAACAACCACCGCAUCUUCAGGACCUGCGCAUGCAUCUUGUUCCAGUGCUAACUAGUGCAGUUAAUGGCACCAUGUCUUGAAUGCAGACAUCUGCUGCCAGUGACUACACCCACUUGCAUUGGAUGGGAGUCACCAAUAGCUCCACAGGUGCAGCCCCAAACCAACAUCUGCAUAAAGGGAAUUGAGAAUAAAUCUAACAAAAGAGCAAUUUACCUCCUGGCAUGCAUGUUUCUAACAGGUGACUUCUGUAAAAAUAGUUUGAUCCA